GGGGCUGGAUUUCCCUUGGAACACCGACAGCCGUGUCAACCAAUGACCGUUCGACAAAACCACAUCCUUCCCACCAAUCACGAACCGGCAGAGGUGGGCCUGAAGUUGCCAUGGUUACUGAGGAUGCGACGGAGUGUUCUCUCGGAAAGCAAACAGGAAGGGAAUUUGUCCUCCGUAUGCUGUGCAGGUAACAGAAGUUGAUCCUCUUCCAGAAGUUACACAGGAAGCGGUCACUCAGCCAGCAGGCGAUGGCCAGGGCCCACCAGAAGACAGAGACCCGUGCCAGCCUGUGAAUCCUGGGAUUGGUGCAACUGAGGGAGGCAAAGACAAAACAGCGCUCUGCUCACAGUCUGCAUGACAUCACUAGAUCCAAGACCCCACCCCGCAAGGAGACCCCUUCAUCAGCCAGCAGCCCCAGUCCUACCUGCGGAGCUCCAGCCCCAGG